rnacentral:rRNA from 1 species
AGUGAACGCUGGCGGCGUGCUUAACACAUGCAAGUCGAACGGAUGAAAUAAGCUUGCUUAUUUCGUUAGUGGCGCACGGGUGAGUAAUGUAUAGCUAACCUGCCCUUUAGUGGGGGACAACAGUUGGAAACGACUGCUAAUACCCCAUAUUCCUUCUUAUCAUAAGGUAAGUUGGGAAAGAUUUAUUGCUAAAGGGUGGGGCUUUAUGGUAUCAGCUAGUUGGUGGGGUAACGGCCUACCAAGGCUAUGACGCCUACCUGGUCUGAGAGGAUGAUCAGGCACACUGGAACUGAGACACGGUCCAGACUCCUACGGGAGGCAGCAGUGGGGAAUAUUGCACAAUGGAGGAAACUCUGAUGCAGCAACGCCGCGUGGAGGAUGACGCAUUUCGGUGUGUAAACUCCUUUUAUAAGGGAAGAUAAUGACGGUACCUUAUGAAUAAGCACCGGCUAACUCCGUG